CUCCAAUGAUGAUUCAGCCAUGCUAAUACUGAUACAGCCAGGCAGAUAAACGCCAUCUGUCUGGUGUAAGUGAGUUCAACUCACCUUCUCACACUGAUGGUAUCAGUGUGUGCUGAGGAGA